UGCAGUCGAGCGGAAACGACAACAUUGACCCUUCGGGUGAUUUGUUGGGCGUCGAGCGGCGGACGGGUGAGUAAUGCCUGGGAAAUUGCCCUGAUGUGGGGGAUAACCAUUGGAAACGAUGGCUAAUACCGCAUAACGUCUACGGACCAAAGAGGGGGACCUUCGGGCCUCUCGCUUCAGGAUAUGCCCAGGUGGGAUUAGCUAGUUGGUGAGGUAAUGGCUCACCAAGGCGACGAUCCCUAGCUGGUCUGAGAGGAUGAUCAGCCACACUGGAACUGAGACACGGUCCAGACUCCUACGGGAGGCAGCAGUGGGGAAUAUUGCACAAUGGGCGCAAGCCUGAUGCAGCCAUGCCGCGUGUAUGAAGAAGGCCUUCGGGUUGUAAAGUACUUUCAGUCGUGAGGAAGGCAUUAACGUUAAUAGCGUUGGUGUUUGACGUUAGCGACAGAAGAAGCACCGGCUAACUCCGUGCCAGCAGCCGCGGUAAUACGGAGGGUGCGAGCGUUAAUCGGAAUUACUGGGCGUAAAGCGCAUGCAGGUGGUUUGUUAAGUCAGAUGUGAAAGCCCGGGGCUCAACCUCGGAACCGCAUUUGAAACUGGCAGGCUAGAGUACUGUAGAGGGGGGUAGAAUUUCAGGUGUAGCGGUGAAAUGCGUAGAGAUCUGAAGGAAUACCAGUGGCGAAGGCGGCCCCCUGGACAGAUACUGACACUCAGAUGCGAAAGCGUGGGGAGCAAACAGGAUUAGAUACCCUGGUAGUCCACGCCGUAAACGAUGUCUACUUGGAGGUUGUGGCCUUGAGCCGUGGCUUUCGGAGCUAACGCGUUAAGUAGACCGCCUGGGGAGUACGGUCGCAAGAUUAAAACUCAAAUGAAUUGACGGGGGCC
rnacentral:rRNA from 1 species